UUCCCAUGUUACAUGUCAUUAAUUUUGCAGGUCAUGUUGUAUGUAACUUCCAAUGAUUAUAACAAAUAUCAUUCAUUGUCUUAAAGUUUCGUGUGAAAUACUACAGUAUAUCGUUCAUCCAAUGCCUUUUCCGUGAAUUCUGGCUUCGUGUCCUUUUACACGGCGACACGUCACCUCUGUAAUCAGCUUUUUUACAGUAUAUCCUACUUAUCUAUAGUGUGAAUGUGUCAUGAGUGACUGGAUUACUGUUUUGUGUUAAUUAAGGAAGCUUGUUCAGUUACUGAAUGGUGAGCAACUACAAAGUCUGAAGCACCCUUACACAAGUUGUCCAAUGUUAUGCAGCUUGCAAUUAAGACGCCUUCAAAACGACACUUCAAAGAAAAAUAUUUCACAUGAAAAAUUUGUCAUUAUGUCUCAUGGAUACUUUUGGCUCACAUUUUAGCCCAAGUUCUACUUGUAGCUACUUUGAACUUGAAACCGACAGGAAGUGCUCAAAAGCUGCAGACUUCCUGUUUCGGAUCGCUCGAAGUGCUUACUGGAAAUACGAAGUCACACAAAUUAUAUUUCCCACUCUUGUCAACCUGAAUAACCAACGCAAAAAUGUAAUAAUGUCAGCAAGUUAAUGUGUCUUUGCCAUCAAACUCUCAUAUUCCGGAAGCACCUGCGUCCAUUUACGGAGUUUGCGCCGUAAAUCAGAUGGACAUUCGUCAAGCAUGCGUUUUGACAAACGCCAUUUGCACAGUGGGGGCCAACAACAGUGCUUGAAGACCCCGUUCUUGAAGGAUAACACAUAGCUAGCCACCUGGGGAACAGUAGCAUAACCGAGUGUCGAUGGUACUAAAUCCACAGGCCUCAGGUACAAAAUACGUCAGUCUGUCAAAGCAAUGCUCUGUGGGACCCAGGGUUAUAUUGCCUUAUAACGGCAGAUACGGAAGAUUAUACACAUGUUCAAGACAUGUCAACCCCGCUGGGCUUAUUACUAAUGCCCCUUGCUCAAGGAAAUCGGGACUUUUCCACUUAAACAAUUAACGACUGCUAUUAUAAUUUGUUAAUGAGGCAUGUCCUGAUAUAUUGCAUAUUGUGAUGUAAUGAAGUGACAAAACUCG